UAAAGGUGACAUACUGUAGAUACUUUAUUAAUGUAUAGUAUUUAAAUAUAUGCCUGAGAAACAUAAAAUUGGCCCUUUAACUGUUUCUGUGUAAAUCUCAGGCACUCACUGGAAAGAGAGUUCUGUUUUACGGUUCUGUUGUGGGACUCUGGACCCUCAGGUCUUCGUUCUGUUGGACUGUUGUGACAUCAUCGUUACAAACAGAACGGACCACGUUGAGAAGGAUUUCUCAGCUCCUGCAGGUCCGGCCCUCAGCGGUUCCGACCCGCAGAGGUCUGGAUCCAGGCUGGAGGCCCCACCCCGCAGGACCCACAUUCCUGCAGACCGAGACGUGUUCAUCAGUGUUUCCCCGAGUUCAGCCGUCUCACAGAUGAGCCGGACUGAACCGAAGCCCAUCACACACAGGUGAGCCUCAUCAGGUCUUCUCCAGAACCUUUAUGACCCGUUUCCACCUCCUCUGCCUCUCAGCCCCGGUUCUGGCUCGUCGACGGGCCCUCUGGACCUGCUGUCCUGCAGCUGUAAAGGAGGUAAAUGGAGCAGA